UAGACGAUCCCUGCUGUCUAGUAAUGUAAACUAAGUGCUCAAUAUAAAGGCAUUAACGGUUAAACUUCAAAGUAAUUCGAGUGACACAAUGUUGUCUUAAAACCUUAGUGAGUUCCGCCACUGUUGUUGUGCCAAUCACCGACGCCCGGGAAGGCGACUCCACCCAGGACCCUAACUCACGACCCGUUGAUUAACGGACCGGCGCCAACGGCUUUACUUCCUCAUGCGAUGGAAGGCGUGAUCCCAGAGAUUUUUUGCCUCAGAAAAUCUCCCGGUGUCGGCUAGGAUCGAAUCUAGACCAGUUGGGUUGGUUGUGAGUGGAUCACGCCACCUCACAACCAACCACGCUAGGCCCCCGCUCUCGGAUGAUAUUGAUAUUGAUAUUGUGAAACGAGAAAACAUAGCAAGCAAUAAUGUUAACUACCAGAGUUAAUCGAUACCGUCGAAGAUGCUGAUGAGGCAAUCCAUUUUCCAACGGAUUUUUGAACUCACUCGACCUAGCUGGAAUGCCUCCGCAUCGAUUGUUAAUCAACAAAGGAUCUUCAAUCAUAUUGCAAAGGAAUAUCGACCCCCCGAAACUUUGUAACGAAACAAGGCAAUAUGUUAGAAAGAUGUUUAAAAAUAUAAGUGGAGCAACAGGAAAGGGCGAAGGUGGAACAGUUUUUAUACCAAGGAUACCACAUAUGUCUUGUGAUCUACCAUUCUGUUAUAAAUUCCCUGUAAGAGUUGAAUUCUCUAUUACUAUUAAUAAGUCACAGGGACGAUCCAUUCAACAUUGUGAAGUAGAAUUGAGAUCACCGUGUUUUUCCCGCAGUCCAUUACAUGUCGCUUGCUCGAGGGUUGGCUCACCUGCAAAUUCAUUCACUUUAGCUCCAGACGGAGAAAUGAAAAAGGCAAGCAAGGUUAUAACCAAAAUAGAAAUAUUAUUUGAAAUGAUGGGUUGGAAAAAAUAAAUGGAAAAAUAGAAAAUGAGAGAAAAAGCAGAAAUUUAUACACGAGCAAGGCCGGGUACAUUCAGCUAGUAACAAAUAAAACUAUCUGAAAAAAGGAAAAAGAGACGCCAACUUUCUUGAAAUAUUGAGGGAGCAAAAUAAUACGUUCCCCCUCGGAAAACAUUUUGGGGGGACAAAAAGUGCCUUGCCCUCCCCUCAAAGUUGGCGCCUAUGCUAGUGAGCAAGAGUAAUGUAAAGAAAAGCAGUAUAGUGAGGCGUAGAGGGUAAACGUAUAAAAAUCCGUCACUUACCAUGGUGUCGAAAUACCUCCCUUUCCCGUCACAGUCGUUAGAGAUGCAGAGGUUAACUUGGCCAUAAGAGCAAUUCCACAAAAAUACUGGCAACAAAUUUAAUCGACUAUUUUCGAUUUGGCGGAAACUUUGCAUAGAUGUUUCUAUUGGCAAAAGAUGCCAUUUUGUGCUAUUUGUUGAAUUUUUUAGAACACGACUUAUUUUUGAGAAGUUAUUGAAAAAUGCUAUUUUGGGAAGGUAUUGAUGAUUACAAAUAUUCUUAGGUUCAAAACGGUUUGUU